AACGAACGCUGGCGGCAGGGCUUAACACAUGCAAGUCGAACGCCCUCUUCGGAGGGAGUGGCAGACGGGUGAGUAACGCGUGGGAACCUACCCAGUAGUACGGAAUAACUCAGGGAAACUUGUGCUAAUACCGUAUACGCCCUACGGGGGAAAGAUUUAUCGCUAUUGGAUGGGCCCGCGUUGGAUUAGUUUGUUGGUGAGGUAACGGCUCACCAAGACUACGAUCCAUAGCUGGUCUGAGAGGAUGAUCAGCCACACUGGGACUGAGACACGGCCCAGACUCCUACGGGAGGCAGCAGUGGGGAAUAUUGGACAAUGGGGGAAACCCUGAUCCAGCCAUGCCGCGUGAGUGAAGAAGGCCCUAGGGUUGUAAAGCUCUUUCGCUAGGGAAGAUAAUGACGGUACCUAGUAAAGAAGCCCCGGCUAACUUCGUG
rnacentral:rRNA from 1 species